rnacentral:rRNA from 1 species
UACGUAGGGUGCAAGCGUUGUCCGGAAUUAUUGGGCGUAAAGAGCUCGUAGGCGGUCUGUCACGUCGGCUGUGAAAACCCGGGGCUCAACCCCGGGCCUGCAGUCGAUACGGGCAGACUAGAGUGCGGUAGGGGAGACUGGAAUUCCUGGUGUAGCGGUGAAAUGCGCAGAUAUCAGGAGGAACACCGGUGGCGAAGGCGGCUCACUGGCUCAUUACCGACGCUCAGGCGCGAUAGCGUGGGGAUCAAACAGG